CAUAAUUUUUAAAAUCAUUUUUGCAUUUAAUUCUUAUUUUCCUUUAUUUUUUAUUUAAAUUUAAUUUUCUAUUUUACUUUUCAUCAUUUUUAAAUAUUUUUGCAUCCAACUUUUGAGGUCUUUUUAUUUAUAAUAUUUCUAACUUCUCAUAAUUUUCUCAACAAUUUAUUUUAUGUUUUGGUGCUUGAUUUAAAUUUUCUCUUUAUUUUUUUUUAUUAAGAAUCACUUUAGUUUUCCUUUUAAUCCACUUUUGUUUGAUUUUUUGGUUGGCUUUUGUUUGACUUGAGUUGUUGACUUGGUUGAUUAAUACUUCUGCAUUUUAAG
rnacentral:lncRNA from 1 species